UUCAUUUUAUAAAUCUCACAUCUGACAAGUAUGAGACCCAGAUGUUCUCUGGAUUUUGGAUGAUUUGCAGUACUGAAAUCAUAAAGGCAUCCAGUUGUUUGAAAGCACACGCAGCCAAAUAUCUGCCAGCUCAGAUUCUUCGGAUGACACAGGCAACUUUUCUUCCCAUUUUAAUGAAGCUAAAAUGCAAAGAUUACAGCUGGCUACUAGAAUGGCUUUUUGACUUGUGGAUGCUGUCUGUUUAGCAAGCCAGAUUUGUCAGAGAAGAUCCUUCUUACCCUGAGACAGUUUUAUGCUUUAAAGAAAGUCCACAGACGAUAGGAACUGAAAGGAAUCUUGUUUUAUUGCUUGCAGCAAAUAUAGCCUGUACUAUCAUCAGUAGGAACUGAAAGGAAUCUUGUUUUAUUGCUUGCAGCAAAUAUAGCCUGUACUAUCAUCAGUAUUAACUUGGUUCGUCUAGACCACUCAUUACGUCCAGAGCUUGAUUCCACAGGAGAAACAUUUUCUUUUCAGGAAGAUAGCUGAGACGUUAAAAGUUUCCUAAGACCACAUACAAGUGAUGAAGAUCUGACAUGGAACUGAGCUCUGUGCACCGAGCACAUUUACAAUCUGGAGGAAAAGCAGAGAGAGAGAGAGAAUGUGUUAAAACUGUCAACAUUAAUUUCCCCAGAAGCAGUUAUAACAUUGUUAAAAAAUAUUGCCUUGGUUUGCAGCACCAGGCAUACUAAUAUUAGUACCAGCAUACCCAUAAUACAUCUGCAAGAUAACUGAAAUAGUCAAUGAUUUCUUGUGAAUAACAUUAUAAAGUUAAUUUAAACACUGUCAUUUGAGUUAUAAGCAGAGUAUAUUUGAGAAUUGCAGUUUUGUUUUUUAAGGCACAAUGUAAAUGACAUACAUCUCUGUAUAACUGUCAUAGUGGUUUCUAUUACUUUUUUUCAACAGUAGGUGGUGCCCAUUGAUUCUUGUAUUUGUAUAGGCUGUUUGUUACUAUUAGUAGGUAGUUUCUGGCAUGAGUUUUAUUUCAGCACAUAUAGCAUUUCUGCAUAAAAGACCUGUAGUGACUUAUUUAACACAAAGUUACAUUUUUCUACAGUUGUUAAGCACAAAGUCAGUUAUUUUAUUCCAUCGCGUCUUCAUAACUACUAAUCACUGAUACAGUGUUUGAAUAGAUAAAAAUACCUGCAAAAAUAGGUAGUGACAGUGACACAUUAAUUAAUGAACAGUAAUGUGCGUGUGGCAUAACAUACAUUUGUAGAUAUCACAUGCUGUCACUGUGUUUAUGAUUGUCUGGUUAUUCUAAGGUGUUGUAUUGCAUUCCAAUUCCAUGAUGUUGUGAUGUCAGUCAUUAAUCAUGUUGCAUUUCUCAUUUGAUUUGCAUACAUUUUUUUAAGUUUAACACUGCUCCUUCUUCUCCCUAUAUGUUGAUAAUAAACAUCUGCUAUUCAGGAGAUGACAACAUGACACAUUACUUGCACAUAAAUCUCAAUUACAGUUGAGAGUAAUUCUCAUAUUGACACCUCAACAUAAUUGUCUGAGGCACACCUACAAAUUAUGUAGCAUGAAAGUAAGGAUUUUGUUAGACUGUCCAUUUAACAGUGUCAUAAAGCCCACGUGAAGUGAUUUAUGCUAUAGUGCUCAUUCAAAAUCUUAUCUUGUUAAUGUCAUUAUGGACUUACAGUGUAGUAUGUUUUUUGGAAUGUAAAAGCAUGUCAGUGUUGUUGCAGUGUAAUAGCAUCAUCAUGAAUAUGUCAUGAAAUAUGUGUGUACUGGCUGUGCGCAUUCACUUUUCAUGCAUAGUGAUCGUUGGUUCGUACUUCAGUAAUAAAAGCAUUUUCUGGGA